rnacentral:rRNA from 1 species
UGGGGAAUAUUGCGCAAUGGGGGAAACCCUGACGCAGCGACGCCGCGUGAGCGAUGAAGGCCUUCGGGUUGUAAAGCUCUGUCUUCCCUGACGAUAAUGACGGUAAGGGAGGAGGAAGCCACGGCUAACUACGUGCCAGCAGCCGCGGUAAUACGUAGGUGGCAAGCGUUGUCCGGAAUUAUUGGGCGUAAAGGGUGCGUAGGCGGCUCUUUAAGUGGGAUGUGAAAUCCCUAGGCUCAACCUAGGAACUGCAUUCCAAACUGGAGAGCUAGAGUGCAGGAGAGGAAAGCGGAAUUCCCAGUGUAGCGGUGAAAUGCGUAGAGAUUGGGAGGAACACCAGUGGCGAAGGCGGCUUUCUGGACUGUAACUGACGCUGAGGCACGAAAGCGUGGGGAGCAAACAGG